rnacentral:rRNA from 1 species
UACGUAGGGUGCAAGCGUUAAUCGGAAUUACUGGGCGUAAAGCGUGCGCAGGCGGUUUUGUACGUCUGACGUGAAAUCCCCGGGCUCAACCUGGGAAUUGCGUUGGAGACUGCAAGGCUAGAAUCUGGCAGAGGGGGGUAGAAUUCCACGUGUAGCAGUGAAAUGCGUAGAGAUGUGGAGGAACACCGAUGGCGAAGGCAGCCCCCUGGGUCAAGAUUGACGCUCAUGCACGAAAGCGUGGGGAGCAAACAGG